rnacentral:rRNA from 1 species
UACGUAGGCAGCGAGCGUUGUUCGGAGUUACUGGGCGUAAAGAGUGCGUAGGCGGUUUUCUAAGUUUGGUGUGAAAUCUCCCGGCUUAACUGGGAGGGUGCGCCGAAAACUGGAAGGCUUGAGUAUGGGAGAGGUAAGCGGAAUUCCUGGUGUAGCGCUGAAAUGCGUAGAUAUCAGGAGGAACACCUGCGGUGUAGACGGCUUACUGGACCAUAACUGACGCUGAGGCACGAAAGCGUGGGUAGCAAACAGG